rnacentral:rRNA from 1 species
AGUGAACGCUGGCGGUAGGCCUAACACAUGCAAGUCGAACGGCAGCACAGUAAGAGCUUGCUCUUACGGGUGGCGAGUGGCGGACGGGUGAGGAAUAUAUCGGAAUCUACUUUUUCGUGGGGGAUAACGUAGGGAAACUUACGAUAAUACCGCAUAUGAUCCACGGGUGAAAGCAGGGGAUAUUCGGACCUUGCGCGAAUGAAUGAGCCGAUGUCGGAUUAGCUAGUUGGCGGGGUAAAGGCCAACCAAGGCGACGAUCCGUAGCUGGUCUGAGUGGAUGAUCAGCCACACUGGAGCUGAGACACGGUCCAGACUCCUACGAGAGGCAGCAGUGGGGAAUAUUGGACAGUGGGCGCAAGCCUGAUCCAGCCAUACCACGUGGGUGAAGAAGGCCUUCGGGUUGUGAAGCCCUUUUGUUGGGAAAGAAAAGCAUCAGGUUGAUACCCCGCUGUUCUGACGGUACCCAAUGAAUAAGCACCGGCUAACUUCGUG